rnacentral:lncRNA from 1 species
UUGACGCCUCUUUAAGUUUACAACGAGGUUCGGUAGGUUUCGGUUGUGUAAUCCGGAAGGAUGAUGAGAGUUUUGUGGCUGCUAGAGCAGGCUCUUUUUAUAGCCAGAUGGAUGCAAAGUGUGCUGAAGUUAUAGCAUUCCGGGAAGCAUUGAGCUGGAUUAAAGAGUGUGGAUGGGAUCGAGUUCUUUUCGAAUUGGAUGCUCAGGUACUUGUGAUGUCAG